rnacentral:lncRNA from 1 species
CCCAACGCGGGCCCUGGUACAGGCGGGGGAGGCAGGCGGCGGAGGGGACGAAGCGCCCGAUCCGCGCCUCUGGAUGGCGACAAAGACGGCCCGCCGCGCCCGCGUCCGGAGCCCCUCUCGGGGAAGACGGGCGGCCAGCGUAAAGUUUGCGGACCGGGCCGAGUGGCCCGCCAGCCCUCGGGGCCCAUAGCCUCCCCUGCCUGCGGUGCUCGGUCCCCGACCUUGCCGGGGGUGGGGGAGCCGGACUUUGUUCCAAGCACAGGAGUCUUCGGACCCUUGCCCCACAUGGGCCUUGUCUUCUCUGCUCGGAGUUGAAUGUUGGCGUCCUUGAACCCCUGGACAGCACAGCCUUGGCCCCGUGCAGUCAGUGGAGUUCCGGCACCCGGAAGGCCGGGCACACGCCCCAGGAGCCCUGUCUUGGCCCCUCUGAAGCACCCCGCUUCUGCCCACCGCCCUGGCCUUGCUUUACAGAUGUGGAUUCGUCGGCGUUCUCCAGAGAAACAGAACUACGAGGGAGAGGCAGACAGAGCGAGAGAUUGAAACGUAAGGACUGCAUCGUGCAGGUAUGGAGGCCGGCACGCCCGGGAUGUGCAGAACCAGGCAGGCUGGGCACUCAGGGAAACACUGGCAUCACUGCUGGGACCCAGAGGCCAUCCAGAAACAGAACCCCGUCUUCCUGGGGGACCUCACACUGCUUUCUCUUAAGACCUUCAGUUGGCUGGAUGAGACCCAGGCACAUGAUGGAGCAUCAUUUAUUUUCUCCAAGUCUGCUGAUUUAAAUGUUAAUCAUAUCUUAAAAAAACUACCUUCACGGAAAUGACUAGAUUGGUGUUUGGUCAAAGAAUUGGUCGUCAUGGUCCAGCCAAGUGGUCAUGAAAUUAAUCAUCACAGGACACGCGACUGGCAUACAGUAAACGACACGCGUUUGCAGUAGACACUUUUAUAAAUUUUGGCAUUUGUAUGCCUGUGAAAUGGAGAAGGCAAUGGCACCCCACUCCAGUGCUCUUGCCUGGAAAAUCCCAUGGACGGAGGAGCCUGGUAGGCUGCAGUCCAUGGGGUUUCUAAGAGUCAAACACGACUGAGCAACUUCACUUUCACGUUUCACUUUCAUGCAUUGGAGAAGGAAAUGGCAACCCACUCCAGAGUUCUUGCCUGGAGAAUCCCAGGGACGGGGGAGCCUGGUGGGCUGCCAUCUAUGGGGUCGCACAGAGUCGGACACGACUGAAGUGACUUAGCAGCAGCAGCAUGCCUAUGAAAAGGCUUCCCUGGUGGCUCAGUAGUAAAGAAUUUGCCUGCAGUGCAAGAAACGCAUUCUCCCUGGAUCAGGAAGAUCCCCUGGAAGAGGAAAUGGCAACCCACUCCAGAAUUCUGGCUGGAAAAUUUCAUGGACAGAGGAGCCUGGUGGGCUGCAGUCCGUGGAGUAACAGAGUCUGACGCGACUGAACACCUGUGAACAUGCCUAUGAAAAACCGUCACACUCAAGAGAAUAAAUGCAUCCGCAUCCAUCUCCCCA